rnacentral:rRNA from 1 species
UUGUUUGGAGAGUUUGAUCCUGGCUCAGGACGAACGCUGGCGGCGUGCUUAACACAUGCAAGUCGAGCGGAAAGGCCCUUCGGGGUACUCGAGCGGC